rnacentral:rRNA from 1 species
AUCUAUGGCCAUGACACCCUGAACAAGCCCGAUCCCAUCUGAUCUCAGAAGUUAAGCAGGGUCGGGCCUGGUUAGUGCUUAGAUGGGAGACCACCUAGGAAGACCAGGUGCUGUAGGAA